rnacentral:rRNA from 1 species
CCCGCUGAACUUAAGCAUAUCAAUAAGCGGAGGAAAAGAAACCAACAGGGAUUCCCUUAGUAACGGCGAGUGAAGCGGGAAAAGCUCAAAUUUAAAAUCUCCUAGGUUCCCUAGGCGAAUUGUAGUUUCAAGAAGCGUUUUCUGAGGUGGCCUCGGUCCAAGUCUGCUGGAAGGCAGCGCCAUAGAGGGUGAUAGCCCCGUAGGAUCCUGAACCAUUUCUUUAUGAUUGCGUCUUCAAAGAGUCGUACAGUUUGAGAAUGCUGUGCUAAAUGGGAGGUAAAUAUCUUCUAAAGCUAAAUAUUGGCGUGAGACCGAUAGCGAACAAGUACCGUGAGGGAAAGAUGAAAAGAACUUUGAAAAGAGAGUUAAAUAGUACGUGAAAUUGUUGAAAGGGAAACGUUUGACACCAGUCAUGUGGGUGGAAAAUCAGUCUUUUGCAUUGGGGAGUUGUAAAGGUUCGGACCGCAAGGCCGGCUUUUGCUUCAUCUUUGGUGUAAGGGAUGCACUUUUUCAUCUACAGGUCAACAUCAGUUUCUUUUGCUGGACAAAACUCCGAGAGAAGGUAGCAGCUUAGGCUGUGUUAUAGCUCUGGAGCGAUACAGUGAAGGGGACUGAGGUUUUCGCAGCGUGUGCUCUCGGGCAAGGCUGGAUGGGUGCUAUGGGAUCGUUCGGGGUACAAUGCCUGGCAUUUUGCUUCGUGUCUUUUCUAUACUCGCUCAACUCAGCUCUUCCACGCUUAGGAUGUUGACUUAAUGGUUUUAAACGACCCGUCUUGAAACACGG